AAACAUUCACACCAUCGUCCUGAUAUCCACUGACUUGCGUACAUUUACCUUCUAGUUUGCUUUUUGUCAUCUUUCCCUUUUCCUACCAAGGGACAGGAAUGGUGGGCUGCAUUUCGGUUCGAAUUUCCAAAUGAUGACACUAGAUACACAGAACUCUAAAUUUCAGAGAUUCCCCAGAUCUUUCCUGAGUGGGUGAACUGGCCACAGUUAAACUGUGAGUGGGUGGUGGGGGUGUCCGCGGCUUCCAGACCAUUUGGGGUUGUGUGAACUAAGUAGACAGAUGGUCCUCAGGGCGCAGGAGGGAAAUCCAUGGCGGAUUCCCCAGAGAUGUGUCAUCUGAGGCGAGCACAGAACCCUAGGUGUUUGACUUUCUCACAGGUUUAUUUUUGCUUUCUCCUGUAGCAUUUCAGCAGGAUGUAUCUUACACAAAUGUCCCUUCGUCAGGGCUUUGGCCCUUCAUAACCAUGGCCAUACGCCAUAGUGCUUUUCACAGAUUCUGCUUCUCGGAGAGGAGAAGCACCGAGAACAUCUGGCUGUAAGUGUGCGUGGGGCUGGAGCAGGUGCGUGUGGGGCCGGUGGCCUGGCCACCCUGGGCCCAAUGCGAGGUCCUCUCGUUCCGUGUCGACAGUUGGAUGCACAUGGAGAAGUAGAAAGUCACGGUUGAAGCAGUACAUUUCACUGGAAUCCUCCAUUCGAAGAACUCUAUAAAUACAUCGAGCUUUGAUAGGAUCAUCAGAACACUCAGAAUCAUCACAGUUAAUGAACCAAGAUUGAUAACUUAUUACUAACUGAAGUUCGGAUUGUUUCCGGUUUCCCUCUGUUCUGCCUUUGCUGCUCUAGGGUCCUAUGUGGGGCAGCACAUGACAGGGUACCAUUUCCCUCCUACCUCCAGUCUUCUCGAUCUGGAAACCUAGGAAGUAUUAGGAUUUUCUUGUUGUGUGGCCAACUGGAAUGAAUUCGGCUGCCCUUUUCACCUCUGCCCAUCAUGAUCAUGAAGAUAAUUAUCUCAGUGGAGGACCUUCGAAGAUUUGGUCAGGACAAGGGGAGGAGUCCAGAGACCAUGAACGCCUCUGUUACCUGUGUUGACCAUGGAGCAGGUAACCUUCUGUAGGGGUCCUUUGGAUUUCUUUGUACUAUGUGAAAGGUGCUUUCAAGUUCCAUCAUUUGGUAGUGAUGAUAAGGAUAAGAGUAAUUUUUAUCUCAUACCAUCUGUGGGCCCUGAUCUUGGCCUUCCAGGGAAGCUAUCCUUUAACAUUUACCCAGCUCAAAAUGACUGGGCAAAACCUCAUAGCAUGGGCCCUAUUUCUGCCCCCAGCACAUGUUGUCCAUCUGCUUUGAAAAGAAAAAGAGAACCAAAAAAUGCCUUUGCCAACAUCAGGGUAAGAACACAAAAGAACUUCUCUGGUUCCCGUAAGAUGAAAGUCAUACUGACUUGUACAUACUGAAAACAUAAGAAAAAGUCUGUCACUUUCUGGAAUCUUCUUCCUUAUCGUGAUGUGUAACUGUAUGUAACACAAAACAGAACAAAUAUAUAACCCUGCCCCAAAUGUUCCUUCCCCGGAGCACUCCCUUCUUUGUGAAGAUUGUGUCUCCCAGGCAGCUGUCCUGACUUGGGUUUGAAUAAAACCCUCUUCCUUUCUCUCUAAAAUGUUUUAAAACGUUCAUUCAUUUAGUGUCGACAAUAACAGUGUGUUUUCUUUUUAAGUGCAAAAUAAUUGUUCCUGGUUCAUGACUGUGACAGCACAGAAGGCCUGUGUCCUCCUGGCCCCUUCCCUGCAGAACCAAGCAUGUGUAUAUAGAUUCCAGCACAAAUGGGCUCAUCCUAGAAGGAUGCUUUGAAGGUUUGAGAAGCACUAUCCACUCCAUGGGUGAGACAAGGCGAAGCUACUACCGCUUGGAGCCUUCCUUUUUGGGCUUAAAAUUGCCUUGGAAAUGCAUGAAAGCAUUGCGUGUCCUAAAGCCCAAGGCUGGAACAGUCUGAGAGCAGCUGACCUUGCCAGGAACCAGGCACACCCCUGCAGGGAGGGUUGGUGCAGAAGGGAAGGGGCAGGGCUCUGAGGGUGGUCUGCAGCUAGAGGGGUCCGCGGAAGGGGCCGUGUGUGGGUGCGUGUGUUUGGGGCCCUGCCCACGAUCCCACUCAUGCCUGCACAGGGCACUGCGCUAAGGAGGCGCCUCCUGGGGCCCCGGGGAUCCCAGAAUUGCGAGUCAUGGGGCAGGUUACCCGGCAUCCAAGGGGCUGGAAGCACCGCACUCCUCAACCAAUCACCACGUGGGGGGUGGAGCUACGUCUCUGUGGCGGACCUGGAGCAGCCUGCGGUAGCAGACCGGGAGCCAGAGAAGGGGAGCUCUGGGAGUCGACCCGUGGAGUUCCUGGCUGACAGGUGUGCUGGCUUUAGGUCCGAGGAGCUGCCUUCUCCCCAGCUGACAGACCUUCUCUUCUCUGGCUCCGUGAGACCCGAGGUUUUGAACGUCUGCAUCUGAGUCAGUGAAGCCGCUUGACACAGGACGCCAGCGUUCAGAGAAAGCGCAGGUCCAUUUGGCGAAAUGUCAUCUCCACGUCAGGACUGGAGGGAUACAGUAUGUUAUUGCACAAGGAGGCCUGAGAAGGCUGCAAUGAAAGAUUGAGAUCUCAGAGCACGUUCCUGUUCCAUGGAUACGUCACUUAACAGUUUGCACAUGAAG